UAAAUGCUUGAAAAAUAAUGCGGGGCUUUUUUGUUGGAUGGAUUUGCGUCCACUUUUAAGGGAAUCGACUUUCGAUAGCGAAAUGUCGUUAUGGAGAGUUAUUAUAAACGAUGUUAAGCUUAACGUCUCGCCUGGAUCUUCGUUUGAAUGUCAAGAGCCAGGGUGGUUCCGAGUUUGUUUUGCAAAUAUGGAUGAUGGAACGGUUGAUAUUGCGCUCGCGAGGAUUCGGAGGUUCGUAGGUGUUGAGAAAAGUGGAGAUAAAUCGAGUUCGAUGGAAAAG
rnacentral:misc_RNA from 1 species